rnacentral:lncRNA from 1 species
UCCCUGAGAACUCACACGUGGUUACUGACAUCAACAGUCUCGAUCCUCUCACGACUCAUAACCACCAAUCAUUCUAAUUGCUUUGUAUCUCCUUGUAUUGUACUUUCUUCUGCAUCAAGCAAAUCUACAACAAUGGUUAAACUUUCAUAGUUCUCAAACCAUAAGGAUAUCGAGAAGAAUAUACUACAGAUCGGGUACUGCUCUGCGAGGUAAAAUUGCAG